rnacentral:rRNA from 1 species
UUCUGUGGGUUUAGGAGAGUUUAAUAACCUUCGGUUUGCGGAAUCGUAUCUUUUCGAUGUAUUUUUUCGUACGGUUGGUUAACAUCGAUUUUGAACAUUAUAAAAUGAUCGGAGGAAUGUGGCUUCGAUCUCGUAUCGAAGUGUUAUAACCUUUGGUAAAUGUAAUGAUCAAGUUCGAGGAUUGCAACGGAUACCCUUUCGGGCUAUUCGUCUGAUCUCUGACACGUUG